GACGAACGCUGGCGGCGGGCUUAACACAUGCUUUUCGAACGGAAAGGCCCUGCUUUUGUGGGGUGCUCGAGUGGCGAACGGGUGAGUAACACGCGAGUAACCUGCCCUUGACUUUGGGAUAACUUCAGGAAACUGGGGCUAAUACCGGAUAGGAGCUCCUGCUGCAUGGUGGGGGUUGGAAAGUUUCGGCGGUUGGGGAUGGACUCGCGGCUUAUCAGCUUGUUGGUGGGGUAGUGGCUUACCAAGGCUUUGACGGGUAGCCGGCCUGAGAGGGUGACCGGCCGCAUUGGGACUGAGAUACGGCCCAGACUCCUACGGGAGGCAGCAGUGGGGAAUAUUGCACAAUGGGCGGAAGCCUGAUGCAGCAACGCCGCGUGCGGGAUGACGGCCUUCGGGUUGUAAACCGCUUUCGCCUGUGACGAAGCGUGAGUGACGGUAAUGGGUAAAGAAGCACCGGCUAACUACGUGCCAGCAGCCGCGGUGAUACGUAGGGUGCGAGCGUUGUCCGGAUUUAUUGGGCGUAAAGGGCUCGUAGGUGGUUGAUCGCGUCGGAAGUGUAAUCUUGGGGCUUAACCCUGAGCGUGCUUUCGAUACGGGUUGACUUGAGGAAGGUAGGGGAGAAUGGAAUUCCUGGUGGAGCGGUGGAAUGCGCAGAUAUCAGGAGGAACACCAGUGGCGAAGGCGGUUCUCUGGGCCUUUCCUGACGCUGAGGAGCGAAAGCGUGGGGAGCGAACAGGCUUAGAUACCCUGGUAGUCCACGCUGUAAACGGUGGGUACUAGGUGUGGGGUCCAUUCCACGGGUUCCGUGCCGUAGCUAACGCUUUAAGUACCCCGCCUGGGGAGUACGGCCGCAAGGCUAAAACUCAAAGGAAUUGACGGGGCCCCGCACAAGCGGCGGAGCAUGCGGAUUAAUUCGAUGCAACGCGUAGAACCUUACCUGGGUUUGACAUGGAUCGGGAGUGCUCAGAGAUGGGUGUGCCUCUUUUGGGGUCGGUUCACAGGUGGUGCAUGCCUGUCGUCAGCUCGUGUCGUGAGAUGUUGGGUUAAGUCCCGCAACGAGCGCAACCCUUGUUCACUGUUGCCAGCACGUUAUGGUGGGGACUCAGUGGAGACCGCCGGGGUCAACUCGGAGGAAGGUGGGGAUGACGUCAAGUCAUCAUGCCCCUUAUGUCCAGGGCUUCACGCAUGCUACAAUGGCUGGUACAGAGAGUGGCGAGCCUGUGAGGGUGAGCGAAUCUCGGAAAGCCGGUCUCAGUUCGGAUUGGGGUCUGCAACUCGACCUCAUGAAGUCGGAGUCGCUAGUAAUCGCAGAUCAGCAACGCUGCGGUGAAUAAGUUCCCGGGGCU
rnacentral:rRNA from 1 species